rnacentral:rRNA from 1 species
AAUGAACGCUGGCGGUAGGCCUAACACAUGCAAGUCGAACGGAUCCUUCGGGAUUAGUGGCGGACGGGUGAGUAACGCGUGGGAACAUACCCAAAGGUACGGAAUAGCCUCGGGAAACUGGGAGUAAUACCGUAUAUGUUCUAAAGAGGAAAGGUUUAUCGCCUUGGGAUUGGCCCGCGUUGGAUUAGGUAGUUGGUGGGGUAAUGGUCUACCAAGCGGACGAACCAUAGCUGGUUUGAGAGGAUGAUCAGCCACACUGGGACUGAGACACGGCCCAGACUCCUCCGGGAGGCAGCAGUGGGGAAUCUUAGACAAUGGGGGAAACCCUGAUCUAGCCAUGCCGCGUGAACGAUGAAGGCCUUAGGGUUGUAAAGCUCUAUCAGGUGGGAAGAUAAUGACUGUACCUCAAGAAGAAGCCCCGGCUAACUCCGUGCCAGCCGCCGCCGUAA